UACAGGCCCAAUAGUGUGGGGUCAUGGGUAAUUAUGAACCAAAGCUGCCCUAAACUCCUAUCACGUUUUUAUACAAAAAUCAAUUGGAAGAGAAAGAGAAGGGAAAGAAAAUGAAUCCGUUAACGCUGGUGAAGAGAAUACAGAGCAUCAACUCAAAAGAAGCAGAAUUAGGGAUCUCAGAGGAGGCUUCUUGGCACGCCAAGUACAAAGAUUCCGCUUACGUUUUCGUCGGCGGUAUUCCUUUCGACCUCACCGAAGGCGAUCUCCUCGCCGUCUUUGCGCAAUGCGGAGAAAUUGUGGAUGUGAAUCUUGUUAGAGACAAAGGCACUGGUAAAUCCAAAGGUUUUGCUUUUGUUGCCUAUGAUGAUCAAAGAAGUACUAUUCUUGCUGUAGAUAAUUUGAACGGCGCGGAGGUUGCUGGCCGAACUAUACGGGUGGAUCAUGUUAGUAAAUACAAAAAGAAAGAGGAAGAGGACGAAGAAACCCAACGUCAAAAGAGAGAAGCUCGAGGUGUAUGCCGCUCUUUUCAAAGGGGUGAAUGUACCCGUGGUGCUAGCUGCAAAUUUUCUCAUGAUGAGCAAAGAGCUGCAAACACUGGGUGGGGUGCUCAAGACAAUGGUCCUAGAUGGGGACAUGACAACUUUGAGGGCUCAAAAAAGAGUGAGAAAAGGUUUGUCAAAGAUGGCAUCUCAGAGAGCCACCUUAAACAGAGUGAUAAGGGCGAAGAUAGGAGAUUCAAACGGCAUGAUGCUAAUGAAAUUGAAAAGUCAAGAGAAGAUUAUCAUAUAAGAGAUGAGAAGAGAUUGAGACGACAGGAAGAUGAUGAGUUUCAACCAAAGUCGAGAGGAGAUAAUCAUAGGGGAGAUGAAAAGAGACCGAGAAGGCACGCAGAUGAUGAGUUGGAGGCUAACUUAAGAGAAGAUUAUCAUAGGCGUGACGUAAAGAGAUUGAGCAGGGAUAAAGAUUAUAAUUUUGAGCCAAAGUCAAGGGAAGAUGAUUAUACAGGAGAUGAAAGGAUAAUGAGAAGGCGUGAUACUGAUGGUUUAGAGGCAAGGUCAAACUCAAAAGACAAUGAUCAUAGGAGAGAAGAACAGAGAUUAAAAAGACACGAAUCGGGAUCCUAUCUUAGAGAAGAUGAUAAAAGAGCACGAGAAAAGGGCUCAUCCUAUGGUAGGGAGUAUACCACCAGUCGCCAUAGAGAAAGAGAUGAGAGGUGUAGACCAGAGAGAUGAGAAUUCCUGAAUUGGACCAUGUUCAGGUGACCAAGUAUCGAAAAAGUCAUCGCAAUUAGGCGUUUGGUUCACUUGUUUCUCAUCUGGUCUGAUUCUUUCUUUUCUGGGCUGGUGCUUCAUGCUGCUCACUUUUCAGGACAAGAACUGAAUUUUAGAUUCAUCUACCAUCUUGUCCUCAUUAUAUGAAUAGAAAUCUACAUUUCUACACUCUUGAAGCACAGCAGUGAUCCAACGGUACAAUGUAGCAGUUUACAGCUAAAGCCUAAAGAGCAUAGUAGAUACAGGCUCUUCUAUCGCAUAUGUGGUGCAUCAGCAACUCCAAACAGGUGAGUCAGCAAUGGUGGAUCCGAGUUCGUCUGCUAGUAAUGGUGCAGUACCAGCAUUUGCAGGAUUCCAGAAACCAAGCACCUGAUCAUCACCCACCAACAUAAACUGCUCUCCGAACAUGCACUUCUUUUGCAGUUGGAAUUUCACAUGCAUGGUUUUUGAUGACUCUGAAGAGUAAAUAAGGCACCAGUUAAUGGGAAGUAACUCCAACCAUACUUGAUGUCAAGAAUAAUACAGAGGAUGAAGAUAUCUUACUUAUGUUUGGAAAGCCAGCGAUUGCAUUUUCCAUGCUCAUUAAAACCUAUUAUACACAUUGAAAUCAGGAUGAAAAAGAGAAAGCAUGAAACCAAUUGCCAUUCUAAAUUGGAAAUGAGAAAGCUCGAGAGUAAAAGGUACCUCUGCAGCAUCAUGGGCCACAUGAGAUUUAGCGAUUGUUCCACCGGAGUUAUGGAAAUCUAGUCCCCUGAAAGUUGGAGACCUUGAAAAGCCAAAAUCAGAUCGUCCGAGCAGAGUAAUCAUUGAGGAAGGUGACACAGUUUUGUUAAUGUUUCUUGUUAGGAUGUUGGUAGACAAGCUGCUUGUUAGAGCUUCCAUUUUCCACCAAUUGGAGAUGGAGACUGGUGAGGCUCUCCUUGUUGGACUGAAUUGCGGGAAAUGCAAUGCAAGAAUCUGUAAGAGUGAAGUAGUUGGUGGCUUGUGUUGUUAUGUAAGUAUUUAUAUACUUGGGAAAACCAAUUGGGUUAUUGCCACGUGGAAAACCAGGUUCUCUUUGAUAGUUUUAUUCCAAUCUCAACCAACUGAGAGAGUUUUAAGGAUCUUUUACUAAGUUUAUUUUUUUCUUGA